rnacentral:rRNA from 1 species
CCUUNNNNNNCCUUGUUAGAUUCGCCUUGAGUUUGAUCAUGGCUCGGACGAACGCUGGCGGCGUGCCUAACACAUGCAAGUCGAGCGGGAACCUCAGGAGGGGUAACCCUUCUGAGGGGAGAGCGGCGAACGGGUGAGUAACACGUGGGCAACCUGCCCCGGACUCCGGGAUAACCCAGGGAAACCUGAGCUAAUACCGGAUACUCCGGCGUGAUCGCAUGGUCGCGCCGGGAAAGCUCCGACGGUCCGGGAUGGGCCCGCGGCCUAUCAGCUUGUUGGUGGGGUAACGGCCCACCAAGGCGACGACGGGUAGCUGGUCUGAGAGGACGGCCAGCCACACUGGGACUGAGACACGGCCCAGACUCCUACGGGAGGCAGCAGUGGGGGAUCUUGCGCUAAUGCGCGAAAGCGUGACGCAGCGACGCCGCGUGGGGGAUGAAGGCCCUCGGGUUGUAAACCCCUUUCGGCAGGGACGAAGGGAAACUGACGGUACCUGCAGAAGAAGUCCCGGCUAACUACGUGCCAGCAGCCGCGGUAACACGUAGGGGACGAGCGUUGUCCGGAUUCAUUGGGCGUAAAGCGCGCGUAGGCGGCUCGGAAAGUCGGGCGUGAAAUGCCGGGGCUCAACCCCGGGACUGCGUCCGAUACUUCCGAGCUGGAGGUAGGUAGGGGGAGAUCGGAAUUCCUGGUGUAGCGGUGAAAUGCGCAGAUAUCAGGAGGAACACCGGUGGCGAAAGCGGAUCUCUGGGGCCUACCUGACGCUGAGGCGCGAAAGCUAGGGGAGCGAACAGGAUU